UACGGAGGGUGCAAGCGUUGUUCGGAAUUAUUGGGCGUAAAGCGCGUGUAGGCGGUUUGGUAAGUCAGAUGUGAAAGCCCUGGGCUCAACCCAGGAAGUGCAUUUGAUACUGCCUUACUCGAGUAUGGGAGAGGAGAGUGGAAUUCCCAGUGUAGAGGUGAAAUUCGUAGAUAUUGGGAGGAACACCCGUGGCGAAGGCGACUCUCUGGACCAAUACUGACGCUGAGACGCGAAAGCGUGGGGAGCAAACAGG
rnacentral:rRNA from 1 species